rnacentral:rRNA from 1 species
UACGUAGGGGGCAAGCGUUGUCCGGAUUUAUUGGGCGUAAAGAGCGUGUAGGCGGCUAGGUAGGUCCGUUGUGAAAACUCGAGGCUCAACCUCGAGACGUCGAUGGAAACCAUCUAGCUAGAGUCCGGAAGAGGAGAGUGGAAUUCCCGGUGUAGCGGUGAAAUGCGCAGAUAUCGGGAGGAACACCAAUGGCGAAGGCAGCUCGCUGGGACGUGACUGACGCUGAGACGCGAAAGCGUGGGGAGCAAACAGG